GUGUUCACUUCAGCAGCAUAUAUACUAAAAUUAGAAUGAUACAGAGAAAAUUAGCAUGGCCCAUGCGCAAGGAUGACAUGCAAAUUCAUGAAGCAUUCUGUAUUUUU
ensembl:snRNA U6 U6 spliceosomal RNA